rnacentral:rRNA from 1 species
GACGAACGCUGGCGGCGUGCUUAACACAUGCAAGUCGAACGGAAAGGCCCUGCUUGCAGGGUACUCGAGUGGCGAACGGGUGAGUAACACGUGGGUGAUCUGCCCUGCACUUCGGGAUAAGCCUGGGAAACUGGGUCUAAUACCGGAUAGGAGCCAUUUUUAGUGUGAUGGUUGGAAAGUUUUUUCGGUGUAGGAUGAGCUCGCGGCCUAUCAGCUUGUUGGUGGGGUAAUGGCCUACCAAGGCGGCGACGGGUGGCCGGCCUGAGAGGGUGGACGGCCACAUUGGGACUGAGAUACGGCCCAGACUCCUACGGGAGGCAGCAGUGGGGAAUAUUGCACAAUGGGCGCAAGCCUGAUGCAGCGACGCCGCGUGGGGGAUGACGGCCUUCGGGUUGUAAACUCCUUUCGCUAGGGACGAAGCUUUUUGUGACGGUACCUAGAUAAGAAGCACCGGCUAACUACGUG